UACACUCCUGCGGGAGGCAGCAGUGGGGAAUUUUGGACAAUGGGCGAAAGCCUGAUCCAGCAAUGCCGCGUGAGUGAAGAAGGCCUUCGGGUUGUAAAGCUCUUUUGUCAGGGAAGAAACGGUGAAAGCUAAUAUCUUUUGCUAAUGACGGUACCUGAAGAAUAAGCACCGGCUAACUACGUGCCAGCAGCCGCGGUAAUACGUAGGGUGCAAGCGUUAAUCGGAAUUACUGGGCGUAAAGCGUGCGCAGGCGGUUUUGUAAGUCUGAUGUGAAAUCCCCGGGCUCAACCUGGGAAUUGCAUUGGAGACUGCAAGGCUAGAAUCUGGCAGAGGGGGGUAGAAUUCCACGUGUAGCAGUGAAAUGCGUAGAUAUGUGGAGGAACACCGAUGGCGAAGGCAGCCCCCUGGGUCAAGAUUGACGCUCAUGCACGAAAGCGUGGGGAGCAAACAGGAUUAGAAACCCCGGUAGUCCCAUG
rnacentral:rRNA from 1 species